CAGUAAAUAGUUUAUUUAAAAUAUUAAUUUUGGAGAUUAAUGAAAGGUAUUAUUAUCUUUUACUGA
rnacentral:tRNA from 1 species